GGGGAUUCUGCUGUGGCUGUGCUCUCCCUUUCGAUCGUGUCCCGAUAUCGUGCCCCGCCAACAUGUUAUGUCCGCCCCUGUCUCCUCUGCUGUGUCACGACUACAACUAUCUCAUGAACUGCUGUUGUUGACGUUUGAAAUUUCUUUACCCCAAUUCUCAUUAAUUAAAAAUACAUUUUACUAUU